CAAUAGCGUAUAUUUAAGUUGUUGCAGUUAGAACGCUCGUAGUCGGAUUUCGGGGCGUUCCGACCGGUCUGCCGAUGGGUAUGCACUGGCCGGAGUGUCCUUUUUGCCGGAGACCGUGCCUACUCUUAACUGAGCGGGGGCGGGAGACGGCACUUUUACUUUGAAAAAAUCAGAGUGUUUCAAGCAGGCAGCUCGCUCUUGCAUGGAUUAGCAUGGGAUAAUGAAAUAGGACUUUGGUGCUAUUUUGUUGGUUUCGAACAUCGAAGUAAUGAUGAGAAGGGACAGUCAGGGGCACUCGUAUUCCGCAGAGAGAGGUGAAAUUCUCAGACCCGCGGAAGACGAACCACUGCGAAAGCAUUUGCCAGGGAUGUUUUCACUGA
rnacentral:rRNA from 1 species